rnacentral:lncRNA from 1 species
AGAUGGGGUCUCGCUACAUUGACCAAGCUGGUCUCAAAAUCCUGGCCUGAAGCAAUCCUCCCGCCUCAGACUCCCAAGGUGCUGUGAUGACACGUGUGAGCCACCCCGCACAGCCCAGCUUCACCAUCUUAAGGGCACACUCCAUUAGCAUUAAGAUCUGGCAGCCUUGGCCCAAGCAAUCCCAGUGGGCGCAUCUUGGGAGCUGACUUUGGGGCCACCUUUCCCCAUGCUGCCUGGGGACCAGAGAACACUGACCGCGGGAAAGACCGAUGCUGCCGAGGCCAGGAGGAGGGGGAGGCCGUCAUCUGUGGGUCCCCAGCAGCGCUUGGGGUCCUGGCCACUCCAGCGGCCCCUUGCACCUGCCUCCAGGGAUCCUUUGUCUUCAAAAUAACCUCCCUCCACCUUCCGGCUCAUAGUGCCUUGGGUGGAUCUGUUCCCAUUUCCCACAAGCCUGCAGGGUGGUGACAGGCCCUCAUUCCCAUGUGCCCCAAGAUUUCGGAUUCCAAAAAUACAUCCCCUGGCUCCCCGGAGAAGUGUGUCACGGUGUCUCCGUUUCACCACUGACAGGGCCAAAGGAUGUGCUCUCCUCUCCCGAGCUGCCAUGGUCAAGGGCUCACCUAGAUAACCCAGGACAGUCCCCUCAUCUCACAAUGACGCCCCCAGUCGGGCUGCCGAGACCGUGCCUGCUGAGCCUAACAUUCCAAGGUUCCAGGAGCUGGGGUGUGGACGGACCUGGGGCCUGCCAUGCCCUCCAAGUGCUGCCCUGCCCCUUGAAGGCCAGGCCAGGUGAG